CCGAAGCCCCGCCCUGCCGCCCUCGAAGCCUCUGUCAGCGAACGAGCGCGCGCAAUAGCGCGGGGCAGGGGUCGCCGCGGCCGGAAGCCCACGCGGGGGGUUGCAGGGACGGGUCGUAAGGGGCGGGGCGGGCCUCGAGGAGGCGGCGGUGGGGUCCCCGGACCUCCGCGCGUGGCACAGCCCGCAUCCUGAACUGACUCCCACUCGAGGACCACCUCUCCUCUCCCUUCUGAGGGCGGAACGGAAAGGCCAAGCGCCUCCUCGCCUCGGGAGCUGCAGGACGCCCUAAUUCAGCCGAGUCGCCGCGUGCCCGGGUGCCCGCGAACAGCAGGAGAGAGGACGGGCGCUGGCCCCACAGGGGUCGCUUUACCCCUUGAAGAGCUCCUCGCUGCCUGCCCUGGGGGUGGUGGGCGUCCAGGUUCACAGGGUACUUGAGCUUGCUGGGGUGGGGGUGUGUAUGAAGUGCGUCCAGGGUUUUGUGGAGCGCGUCUAGCAGUUGCUCUACUUCUUACUGACAGUGAAACAAGGGCGCCCACGACAGGUGUUCCCUUUUCGCUGUCGCUGCCAGGAAGCUUCCAGCCAGGUUCAGCGCCCAGUGGUGUCAGCCGGCCCAUCUCGAGCCUUGGUUCCGCUGUCAUCUUCUGGUGCUUAUUCUGGUGUUUAUCCAACUGUCCGUUUUGAAAUUAUGUUCCCAAGCCAUUUAACACCUCUGGAGAACCAAAGCACUGGCUGUCAGCGGAGCGGGAUGCACGCGCAGCGGAGGGGACUGGGCACGCCAACCCCACGAGGGUUCCUGCGGAGAUGACACGGACCUUGAGGUCUGAAGCCAAAGGACGAUUUGUGUGAAGGGAUUUUAUUGUUAGCUUUGGAGCCAGCAACAAGAACACAGCCCUGGAGUUCCCGGGGCAAAAAGGAUACCAAGAUAAUAAUUCAGAGUUAGCAUUAACAUUAUUAGCUGCCAGGCCAACAAAACCUUGAGUAAUCCUGCAAUACUCGGAAUCAAGAAAAGUGGCUACAUCAUGGUCAACUUUGAAGAACAUCAGCCUCAAGAUCUUUUAUACUAACUCAUAUGUUUAUUAAAAUCUAUUACUAAAACAGAUUUUUAAAAAUUAUCUUGAGGUUAUAAUGAGACAUAGUGCUUCUACCUAAUUCCUAUUGGGAAAAAAAAAUGUUGAGAUUUGGGGACCAAGAAAAAAAAUUCUGAUCGCUUUUUUUUUUUUUUUUUUUGAGAUGGUGUCUCUCUCUGUCACGCAGGCUUGGAGUGCAGUGGCAUGAUUUUGUCUCACUGCAACCUCUGCCUCCCGGGUUCAAGUGAUUCUCCUGCCCCAGCCUCCUGAGUAGCUGGAAUUUCAGGCACCCACCACCAAGCCCAGCUAAUUUUUGUAUUUUUAGUAGAGACAAGGUUUCACCAUGUUGGCCAGGCUGAUCUCAAACUCCUGACCUCAAAUGAUCCACCUGCCUUGGCCUCCCAGAGUGCUGGGACUACAGGCAUGAGCCACCGCUCCCAGCUGAUUGCUUUCAAUUAGUAUUGAUAAUAGUUUGAAACUGGGACAAGUAGCCUAGUCUUGGCAGUCUUUCUGCUCCUUAGCUCAGCUAGGUCCAAGUUCUUGUCUCACAACCAGGAAAAACUAGGCACACAGACACCGGAAAGUGAGUGGAGUGGAAUUGAUUAAGC
rnacentral:lncRNA from 1 species